CCGGGGAUGGAAGACGAUUCCACACCGUGGUAGUCCUAACCAUAAACUAUGCAGACUAGAGAUCGGACCGAUGUUAUCAUUUUCACUGGUUAGGCACCUUACGUGAAAUCAAAGUCUUUGGGUUCUGGGGGGAGUAGGUGGCAAGGCUGAAACUUAAAGCAAUUGACGGAAGGGCCACACCUUGAUUGGAGCGGGAGGCUUAAUGUGAUUAUUCACGGGGAAGUCCCCAGGUCCAGACACAAUAAGGAUGACAGAUUGAGAGCUCUUUCUUGAUUUUGUGGGUGGUGGUGCAUGGCCGUUUUCAGUUGAUGGAGUGAUUUGUUUGCUGGAUCCCUAUAACGAAUGGGACCUUAACUUCCUAAAUAGCCAGGAUAGCUUUGUAGGGUCGCCUCUUCCAGAGGGAGUAUCGGCUCAAGCCGAUGAAGUUUGAGGCAAUAACAGGUGGCCGAUGGCUUUAGAUAGUUUGGGCGGCUCGCCAGGGACCCCGACAGAGCCAAGGAGUUCUAUCUAAGAAAUAAAGGUCUUGGGUAAUUCGGGCAAACUAGGUCGUAUUGGGGAUAGAGCAUCGCAAUUUAUGCUAAUUAGUAAGGAAUUAUCAGUUAGCGCAAGUCAUCAGCAUGGACCCAUUAGCACCUUGCACCUUGUACACACCGC
rnacentral:rRNA from 1 species